rnacentral:misc_RNA from 1 species
GCAAUUCUCAACUACCCCAUAGGCCCCAUAAUCUAUUUUUAAAAUAUAGGAACCUGUAGUACAAAAAACUGUUUUCUAUCAACUUUUUUUGCCUAAGUGGUCUGAAAAAAGAACACCAUGAAUUCUCAAGCUUCUUUGAUGACCAUCUCCCUACCAGAACAAGAAAAACUUAUUCACAAACUCCAACUCUUCAAGAUUCAAGGUAAAGAUAAACGUGGAUGCUCCAUCCUUAGCGUCAUCGGCAAACUUUUCCCUGCAAGGAUUGUAAGUGUGGAGGCAGUGAACAAGUAUCUACAAGAGAAGAUAUAUCCAAGUUUAGAGCAGAGACAGUUCUCAAUAGUGUACCUGCAUACAGGGGUUAACAGAGCUGAGAAUUUCCCCGGAAUAGCUGCUCUCCGGUCGAUCUGUGAUGCUAUGCCGGAAAACGUGAAAAAUCAUCUGAAUGCUGUGUAUUUUCUUCAUCCAAGCCUACAGUCUCGACUCUUCCUUGCUCUUUUCGGCCGGCUCAUCUUCAGCGGAGGGGUGUAUUGGAAGAUGAAUUACGUGACCAGGCUAGAGUUCUUGUGGGAACACGUAAAGAGAAAGGAGAUAGAAAUACCCGAGUUUGUGUAUGAUCACGAAGAGGAGCUGGAUGACUACCGUCCGAUGAUGGACUAUGGAAUGGAGGGAGAUCAUCCAAGGGUUUAUGUUAAUUCUACUGUUGAACCUGCUAUUUCUAUGUACUCAAUGAGGUGUAUUGCUUAGUUAAAAAUGAGGAAGAACUGUUUUAAGGUGGGUCUUAGAUGGGCUGAACUGAUAAUGUCUGCCGGCCUCUUAGGCUACUAUCUUUUAUCUUCAAGCAUUACUAGUAUUACUGUUAGAAAAGCUGCAAAAUUCUUAGUGAUUAUAUGUGGCAUUCCAAUUCUAGGUUUUUUUUAGACUGUAAAAUGGAAAACCAAAUGAGCUUUUUUUCUUUAACA